rnacentral:rRNA from 1 species
CUCAAGCGUUGUUCGGAUUCAUUGGGCGUAAAGGGUGUGUAGGUGGCGCGUUAAGUCGGGUGUGAAAUUUCGGAGCUUAACUCCGAAACUGCAUUCGAUACUGGCGUGCUUGAGGACUGGAGAGGAGACUGGAAUUUACGGUGUAGCAGUGAAAUGCGUAGAUAUCGUAAGGAAGACCAGUGGCGAAGGCGGGUCUCUGGACAGUUCCUGACACUGAGACACGAAGGCCAGGGGAGCAAACGGGAUUAGAUACCCCGGUAGUCCUGGCAGUAAACGGUGCACGUUUGGUGUGGGAGGAUUCGACCCAUUCUGCGCCGGAGCCAACGCGUUAAACGUGCCGCCUGGGGAGUACGGUCGCAAGAUUAAAACUCAAAGAAAUUGACGGGGGCCCGCACAAGCGGUGGAGUAUGUGGCUCAAUUCGAUGCAACGCGAAGAACCUUACCAGGCCUUGACAUGCAUCUCUAAGUUGGUGAAAGCCAGCGAGUGUCGAAAGACACAAUUUGCACAGGUGCUGCAUGGCUGUCGUCAGCUCGUGUCGUGAGAUGUUGGGUUAAGUCCCGCAACGAGCGCAACCCCUGUGAACUGUUGCCACGGAACCGAGAGGUUCCAGCACUCUGUUCAGACUGCCUCGCUUAAACGAGGAGGAAGGUGGGGACGACGUCAAGUCAGUAUGGCCCUUACGGCCUGGGCUGCACACGUACUACAAUGCCCAGUACAGAACGAUCCGAUACCGCGAGGUGGAGGAAAUCACUCAAAACUGGGCCCAGUUCGGAUUGGAGGCUGCAAUUCGCCUCCAUGAAGCCGGAAUCGCUAGUAAUGGCGCAUCAGCUACGGCGCCG